rnacentral:sRNA from 1 species
AACUGAAAAUGCAUGUAGGCAUUGAUACAUGUACCCCAGGGAGCAAAAUCAUCCCUUUUUAACUUGAGAAUCUUGAGGGGCUUUUAAGAGGGGACUCUCUGAUUGGUAAGUCUUAAGGUUGCUUUUGCCCUGUUCCCCAGGAUUUAGAGGGAAAGAUCAUUGUAGAUGAACUGAAGCAAGAAGUUAUCAGUACCAGCAGCAAGGCAGAACCACCCCAGUGCACCUCCCUGGCCUGGUCUGCUGAUGGCCAGACUCUGUUUGCUGGCUACACAGACAAUCUGGUGCGAGUGUGGCAGGUGACCAUUGGCACACGCUAGAAGUUUAUGGCAGAGCUUUACAAAUAAAUUUUUAAAAAACUGGC